AACGAACGCUGGCGGCAUGCCUAACACAUGCAAGUCGAACGAGACCUCCGGGACUGGUGGCGCUCGGGUGCGGAACGCGGGGGAACCUGCCCUUAGGUACGGAAUACUUCCCUGAAAGGGGGGCUAAUACCGGAAAAUGUCUUCGGACAAAGGAUUUAUCGCGUUUGGGUGGGCCCGCGUUGGUUUAGCCGGUUGGUAGGGUAAAAGCCUACCAAGGCGACGAUCCAUAGCUGGUCUGAGAGGCUGAUCAGCCACACUGGGGCUAAGACACGGCCCAGACUCCUACGGAAGGCGGCAGAGGGUAAUAUUGGACAAUGGGCGAAAGCCUGAUCCAGCAAGGCCGGGUGAGUGAUGAAGGCCGUAGGGUUGUAAAGCUCUUUUACCCGGGAUGAUAAUGACAGUACCGGGAGAAUAAGCACCGGCUAACUCCGUG
rnacentral:rRNA from 1 species